GUGAAAAAACAAACUCUGACCAGAAAUAUAGAUCUGUGGUGAACUAUGGGCUAAGGCUAUAUGGCCAAUCUGAUCACCAAAAGCGAUAGGAUGGUGGUACCAUUGUAAGAUGAUUAAUUACUAGAGAUCGGCCUUCUUUUCUUCCCACAAGCACCAUUUGGGAAUGGCGGUUGCAGUUGUGCGCCCACAGCUAAUGGCUUACCAAGCAGUGGAGAGGCCGGCAUGGUGCCGGUGGUUUUGGUCCAUCUGCCCGGGCGGAGCAUGCU